rnacentral:rRNA from 1 species
UACAGAGGGUGCAAGCGUUGUUCGGAAUUAUUGGGCGUAAAGAGCUCGUAGGCGGUUUGUUGCGUCGGCUGUGAAAUCCCGAGGCUCAACCUCGGGUCUGCAGUCGAUACGAGCAAACUAGAGUGUUGCAGGGGAGACUGGAAUUCCUGGUGUAGCGGUGAAAUGCGCAGAUAUCAGGAGGAACACCGGUGGCGAAGGCGGGUCUCUGGGCAACAACUGACGCUGAGGAGCGAAAGCGUGGGUAGCGAACAGG